AUUUGAUUCAGCUGUUCUGGGCUCAACAACUUUCCUGUGUCUAGUGAAUCCACAUUAUAGUAAAACUGAUUACCAGCAGUUUCUCCAGUCAUAGCAGCAUUACCUUGAACUGAAUUGGUAUAUGGCCUAGACUUAGUAAACUUAAAAUUUGGCGGAAAACCAUGAAUCUUAUAGCAUUUUUCAACAGUGUGCCCUGGUUUUUUGCAAUACUUGCAAAUAAGUGAAGUUCUCUUGUUCUCAUAUGGUCCUCUUACAGUCUUAAAAUAAGGAGGAUCAGAUCUCUGAUUAGAGGUGUUUUGUCCUAUAGCAACAAAAGAUGAACUCUCUCCUGGAAACUUUGGAUUGGAAUGAACUUCCCUCUGUUUCUCUUCUUGCAUCAGCAGAGCAUAGGCAUUAGCAAUAGAAGGUACAGUCACACUUGCAAAUGAUGAAUGCAUCCAAAGUGUCAAGCUCAUCCCAGAGUCUUUUCAUCUUUGUGUAGUAACCAGCAAUGUCACUGGUACCCUGAACAAGAUCACUCAGCUCUUUCUGAAGUUGAAACAACUUGGCACCACUACUUUGCCCAAAUCUAGCCUCCAGUUCACUCCACAACUCUUUGGCUGUGGAGGAGUAAAUGAGACUAUCAGAUAUUUCUUUUGAGAGAGAGUUCAAAAGCCAUGAUAUGACCAUAUUAUUGGCCCUGGCCCAAGCCUUGUGAAGAUCAGAGUCACCAGUGGGUUCAGUGCUAGAUCCAUCUAUGAAUCCGAAUUUGUUUUUGGCUGUUAAGGCAAUCAUCAUGCCCCUUUUCCAACCAGCAUAGCUUUUUCCAUCGAAAGGACUAUUCACCAGUAGACUACCUGGUGAAUCUGAUGGUGCAAUGAAGUAAGGGUGUGAAGGAGGAAUUGGAUCAUUGGAAGAAGCCUUUUGAGCCACCAUUGUUGUAUUUUCACCCAUUGCUCAAAGAAGAAAAAAAAUGAUAACAGUGAGAGAACUUGAAGAUGAACAGAUGAAAGAAAGGAAAACAAAAGAAGAGAAGAAUUAGAUAUCCUGCUCUGAUACCAUGAAAGAAAACAAGAUGCAGGAAUUUUUCUUUGUAUAUUCACUGUGUAUUCUGUAUCUUUGUACAAACGUAUAUUUAUAGCUAGCCCAAAAGGAAUCUCUAUUCUAACAGAA